AGAAUAUUCUGACAAAGCUCUGGUCGAUGGAGUAGAAAAAAAUUUCAAAGAAAAGAAAUGCCUUUCAUUACCGAUAAUAGGAAUACCAUGUCGAUCCAGAAUGACACAAAAGCAAAAAGCUGAAAAUGAAGAAGCAAAAAUAAUUGCAAUCUUAACAGAAGAAGGAUUGAUAAGCCAACCAAAAAAUUAGAACCGCUGGAGGAUUAAGUUUUGAAAUAGUACAGGCUCAUCCAAGACGAGAGAAACCUCCACUCUUUUUAGAAAGGCUGGAAACUCACAAAUCUGAUAGAAUUGUUACAAUCGAUGAACAGCUGGAACGGAUAAGAAAAGCAGAACAAAGAAGAAAGGAAAGAGAAGAAGGUGUCGUUAAAAGAAAUCAAAUUUUGUCACAAAAAAAAUAGCCGUAUUAGAAAGUGUUAAUGAGAGAAAAAGAGAAAAUGAAGAAAAUUUGGAAGAGAAGAUGAUGAAAAUUGAAGAGAAGAGAGAAAAAAGAUUGGAAGAGAUCAGAGAACGGAUGAAGGAACGAGAAAGAAGAGCUGAAAGAGUAAGACUGAGGAAAGGGCUCAAUCUAGAUAAUGUAGGAGGCGUUGAUGGUGAGCAAGAAAAUUAGAAAUGACCACAUCAUUCUAGAACUGGAGUAAGAUGUUUGGAUUAAGAUGUCACCUAUCUCACUUGUG